rnacentral:tRNA from 1 species
GCGAGCAUAGCUCAGUUGGAUAGAGCAUCCGCCUUCUAAGCGGAUGGUCGCAGGUUCGAGUCCUGCUGUUCGCACCA